rnacentral:lncRNA from 1 species
CAGCCCUUGACAGUCUGAUCCAAUUGCUUGGAAAAAUAAGUUACCGGCUAGGGGGUCAUACCCAGUUUUUGAGUUAAAACCCCCAAGCUUAUUCCCUGCCUUUCAUGUUGGUACAUAUUAAGGGCUUGUCCAAGUGAGGAAGUCCUAAGGCUGGGGCUGAAAUUAAAUUUGUCUUGAUGGUAUCAAAGGCCACCUGAGACUUCUUCGCCCAUUCUAGUGGCUCCUGCUCUAGCCCUUUUAGAGCCUUAUAGAUGGGCUUUACUUUGAGACCAUAGUUAGGAAUCCAGAUCCGACAGAAACCAGCCAUGCCCAAGAAUCUUCGUAGUUGUUGCUGGGUGGUGGGAGCGCUUAGGCACCUUAUAGAUUUUUUUUGGUCUGGCAGCAGUUCCUUUUGGCUUUGAUUUUUGAGGAAGACUGGCCCUGAGCUAACAUCUGUGCCCAUCGUCCUCUGCUUUAUAUGUGGGACACCUGCCACAGCAUGGCUUGACAAGUAGUGUGUAGGUCUGCACCGGGGAUCCGAACUGGUGAAUCCCAGGCCACCAAAGUGGAACGGGCGAACUGAACUGCUGCGCCACCGGACGGGCCCCCCCUUUGGGCUUUUGAUAAGGUGUUAUUCUGACUGAACCUUUAAACUCAACUCCAACCAGGCAUCGGCUUUGCUGAGGACUCACUGACAGUCUCCUUUCUUCAGAAUCUUCCCACUCCCGGCAGAGAGGGGUUGUUCUCCUGGAGGAUCUGUCCUUUCCCCUGAAACAGAGUAUCAGGGCAUUCCGAGGCGAGAAUCACAUCUUUACAUUUCUUGCCAGCUUGAGUUAUUCAACGGGGAGCUUUUGUGGACAAUUGCAGGGUGAGCUUUGGCAGUCUGGGGCCAGCACCACAGUACAAGUCUUGUUCGGAGCGCCACGCGUUCUCCUUGAGAUCUCUCUGCUAGUAUGAGAUGAAGAAAUGUCCUCUCACCCCUCCUGAGGCGUUCCAUUUUCCAGUGAGGAAUUUCAGGAUCAAAUGAACACACACAUGCACUCACACACAUACACUCACACAGAGACACACACACACAGACGUACACUCCUUCCAAGAACGAACAGCAAUUCUUAGGGACAAUGCAGUCUAAAUCCACAUUAAGAAAGAGAACCGUUUCCUUAGAGAUGCCAGCCUGCCCUCUCUGGAGAUAACAUUUGACAUUAUUAUGCAAAGCAGUUUCAGUUCUCCUGUCCUGCUUUUGGAACAGUGUAAGAGGCCAACGGUGUGAAAUGAAUAGGGCCCAUCACUCGCCUCGGCAAAAGACAGCCUACUUCUGAGGGCUCUGUCUUUGUCGGGCUAGAUCAAAUUCUUGAGCAGAUCUGCACUCUUUUCCAUCUCUGCAAAGGAAGUUUAAGAAUUGAUUAUCCUUCGCCUCAAGCAAACCCUCAGGAGGGAGGGGGAUGAGUGGGUUUGUCCUUCUGUUUACAUAUGCUCUGUCCACUCAUUUUGAAUUUAAUGACACAGAGUAUGUUAUGACCUUUUGAUACAUUGUAAAAAAACCAAGGAAUCAUACAAUGCACACUUUCUGCACCUUGUUUUUUUAAAAAACAUUGUAUUUUGAAGUAAUUAUAGACUCACAGUAAUUAUAGACUCAAAACUAGUAUAUAGAGACCCCAUGGACCCUUCCCCUAAUGGUGACAUCUUCCAGUGGUGGCAUCUGUAGUACCAUAUCAAGACCAAGACAUUGCCAUUGGUGCAAUACUGUUAACUAGAUUAAAGCCCUUACUCAGUGUUCAUUAUUUUUUAUAUGCGCUCAUUUGUGUGUGUCAAUGUGUGUGUGUGUGCACGUGUGCGCAUGCGGGCACACUCCUAACUUGUUGGUCUGUUUUGGAGACCUUCGACUAGCAGGCGGUUCAGAUCUUCAUCCUCAUUCCCUCUUCUGUUAUCUGGAUGGACUAUCACUUGUUGGUCCCCUGUUGAAGUCCACGUUAGUUGUUAAUGGCUUUUCUCUCAUACAUAGAGUACUGCAAUAGCAUCCUGUACACAGAGCUGGGAACACUUGUGCUAAGCCCAGGUCGAUAGUUGAAGGGAUAGGGCAAAGUGUAUGUGCCUUUGACAUUUUAAUAGAAAUUGCCAAUUGCCCUCCAGAAAAUCUGUGCCCCUGUCCUAUUUCACGGAACCUUCCUGAAGGGCAAUUCUGUGGGAUGGUGUCCAUUUCAAUGCACCUUCCUAGCACUCAGUUUCACCAAACAUUUUAACUUUUGCCAAUCGGGGUGAAAAAAGAAUCUUUCGAUUUACAUUUCUUUAAGGUGAUUAUUUUUUCAUAUGUUUGCAGGUAUUUGUAUUUCUUGUUUCCUAACUGCUUGUUCAUGCCCUUUGUCCUUAUUGGGUUGUUACUUUUUUUUUCUUAUUUAUUCUUCUAAACUCUUUAUCAGAGAAAAUUAACCGUUUGACUGUUACGUGUUGCAAAUAUUUUUAUUGAUUUGACUUUUGAAUUUAUGUCUUUUUAAUGUCCUAUAGAUGUUUUACAUUUUCAUGGAAUCAAAUUUAUUUAUCUUUUUUUUAUGGCUUCUGAGUUUUAUGUCAUGCUUAGAAGGGCCUUUCUUACUUCAAGAGUAUAAAAAAUUCACUCAUGUUUCCAUGCAGUUAUUCAAUGUUUUGUGUGUGUGUGUGUGUGUGUGUGUGCGUGUUUAAAUCUUUGGGCCAUCUGGUAUUUGUUCUUGAAUGGGAAGUGAGCUAGAGAUCCAGGUUAAUUUUUUCCCAAAUGGUUAACCAGUUAUCUCAGGGCUAUUUGAUUAUCCCCCAUGCCUUGAUUUCUUUGUUAUUUGCACAUGUUCUUGAGCCUAUUUCCGGAAUUCUUUUAUCCCAUUGAUUUGUCUGUCUGUUCCCAAGUCAGGAUUUUGAUAGAUAUUGCAAAGAGGAGAAAGGAAAGUGGAAAAAGUGCCAUAAAAUAAUUUCAAAUAGAGCAGCAUGGGCAAUUCAAAGCAGGGAGAGAGUAUUUUUAGUCGGGGUGGUCUGGAAAAGCUUCUUGAAAGAGGGACAUUUAAGACAAAGCUUGAAGGAUGAGAAAAUGAGUCAAAGGGAAAGCAGAGCAAAGGCAGGAGGCAGGAGGUGGUGGACGUUUGUGAGCAUGUCUGUGGACUCUGCAGGGGAGCCCACGCUCCGCCCCUUGUGUUGUUAUGCAUGCAGGUCUUGAAUGCUGUCAACAGCAGACAGAAAUCUUUGCAUUACUCUCUCAAGGCAUUUUGAGGAUACACCGCGAGAGCUACAAGUUGAGCAUCGCCUGUUUUCUAGGAAUAUCUAUUGUCAAUUCCAAUUCUCACCACCAUGAGCAAAGUUGAUAUUAUUAUCCCCAUUUUAGGAACGAAGAAUGAGGAAAAAGCCCAAGUGAGUUAAAUAACAGCUCAUGAGUAGCAGCACUGAGAUUCAAAUCCAUGGCCAGCAAGUGAAAAAAAAGAAUAGAAAACAUCACAGUCGCUCACUCAUGAUAGGGGGUUGGUCACAGGUGCUGUCCUUGCACUGUCCUUGCUCUGCCCAUGUCAUUGGAUCCCUCUCCCUUCUCUGUGCUCACCAGCUGAAUUGCAGUGCGAGUGCUUGCCCCAAAGUCAGCAUGUUGUUGGAAGUUGCAGGAGAGCCAGAGGACCCUAGGAAUUUGUGUCCCCUCCCUCCCUCCACAGCCCUGAACCGAUGACUGAUGGGGACGGGGAUAUACGUACUCUAGCUCUUUUCCCCCUCAUUGGGGUGACUUUGAGGUGACCCACAAUGCUCCCUAAACCCUGGGAAUGGUGCAUAAUUACCCUCUACGUGACUUGGAUCCAUAUUGCACCCUUACUGGUCCACCUUCCCCACUCCUCUAAAGACUUUUCCCUGGAAAUAGUUCCUAAUAAAUCACUUUUAUAUACAUCUUCCUCUAAGGCAGUAUUGUUUCAUGAAACCUGUUUCAGCUAUGUAGAGGGGUGGGUGAGUGUGUGAGUGUGUGUGUGUCUGUGUAUUGGUUGCCACUUAAUAUGCAUUUCUUACUGUGGAGCCAAAAAGUUCGAAAGCCAGUGUCCUAGACCACGUUAAGCUGUCUCUCUAUUUGUGUGGAUAGUUCACUGAGCUGGAAAGUUUCCUGGAUGCCCCAGAAUCAGAACUGCAGAUCAGAUUCCAGGUUUUAUGGUCUAUUGAGUACAGCGGCUUAAAAUACAUUGAAUAAAAAUGUAUUAGUCAUAGGUCUAGAGAAUGCCAUCAACUUUGAGCUGUUCUUUGAACUUCUUUGGUCAGUCUAGCCUGCCGAAUGGGUUUCAAAGUCCAGAUUUCCCUCUACUAAGGUUGAUAAAAGUGGUAUAAAAGUCUUGAUGGUUGCUUACUAAUUUUUUGCAAACUAGCAGAAAAAGGAAGACCAAGUUCGCCUUGCUGCAGAGCCAAAGGGCAUGCUUGCCCACAUGGCAGGGUAGUCUUCCCAGAGCUCCAGCCCAGGGCUUGGCUUAGAUGGAGAGAGGCGGGGUGUUCAGAAUUGCUCUGCAUUUACCUCUGAAGACAGUGCAGUUAAGGGAAGGGAAGAUAACACACGACAUACUCACUAACAACCAACAGGCCUUAGCAAAGAGAUCAGGCAAGUAUGUUUAUGCAAUCUGUGGGACCCUGGGGCAAGCCUGGCUGCCAGAAUCCAAGGAGGCCAGGCAUGGAGGGUGGAGGAUGCCAACUCCCAAAGUACACUGGACAUGAAAUCUGGAAGGUGGUGCAAGGGAAAGGUAAGAUACCUAUCUUCCCAAGGAAACCUUGGGAGCCCUGCCAUCAUGGUGUCAGUUGAAGAUCCUUACUUGUUAGUACAUGAGGUGGAUGGGCUCCAUGUUUAGUUGUUUUCUUUUUGAGGAAGAUUAGCCCUGAGCUAAUUGCUGCCAAUCCUCCUCUUUUUGCUGAAGAAGACUGGCCCUGAGCUAACAUCCGUGCCCAUCCUCCUCUACUUUAUAUGUGGGACGCCUACCACAGCAUCGCAUGCCAAGCGGUGCCAUGUCUGCACCCGGGAUCCGAACUGGCAAACCCCGGGCCACCGAAGUGGAACGUGCGCACUUAACUGCUGUGCCACCGGGCCGGCCCCAGACUCCAUAUUUAGAAAAGAAAAAAAUAUGUUGAAAAUCCAGUGGAAUGAUUAAGAAAAAAAGGAAGGAGAUCUCAGCUCAUCAAGUUGAGGAUCAUGACGACUGAGAGUUAAGAAUUUAUAGCACCUCUAAGAUUGUCCCAAGGAAGAGCCAUGCUUCAUGGUAGACAUGGACAUUCUGGUCACCCUGAAAGUGUCCCCCAGGGUGGGCAGUGGGUGCUCAUCAGUACCGUCAAGGUCUGGUUUAAGGAUCCUUCAGCACCAGCCAACUCCCUCUCUCCUGAUUCCACAUCCACUCCACCACUUUCUGCUUGUGACUCCAGGCAGGAGGUAUGGAUCACAAUAACACCUUUUCUCAUCACUGGAAGGGCAUGUUCCCCUCCAAAACUUAAUCCACUGGCUUUUGAGACGAAGUCAACUUCAUAGGAGUCUAGGUGGUGAGAGUCGGAACCGUACUCCCGCUGAGAUGUUGACUAUCUAAGUUGCUGGCUGACUAGUCUGAGAACCACGCCAGGAGUCAGGACCCUGUGAGGCCCAGCAUGAAAAGGGCAGUCAGAUCUCACAGGCUCCAAGACACAGAGGAGCAGGGCCCCCACCAGAGAUGAUCCUGAGGCCGAGCUGAGAACCUGGGGGGAGGCAGUGUGAGCGAUUCCUGACUGGGCGCAGCAAGCUUUGACUCUUGGUGAGACUCUAGGGUUCAGCCAGAAAGGGGGUGUUCACAUGGGGAUGGGGAUAGAGAAGCCUUUGACUCUAGGGAGCAGAGCAGGGGUGGAAGGGAGAUGGAUGGGGUCAGUUUUGUUCUCAAUUUCUGUCUUGCCCUCUGUUCUUGGAAAGUUAGCUGAGAAAGGAGGCUUUGAGCUCUAUCUCCAGGGUAAGAGCUGCUCAAUUUUUUUUUUUUUGAGGAAGAUUAGCCCUGAGCUAACUGCUGCCAAUCCUCCUCUUUUUUUGCUGAGGAAGACUGGCCCUGAGCUAACAUCUGUGC